rnacentral:lncRNA from 1 species
AUAAUAUCAAAAAAUACAUUAUAGAGAUUUGACAAUUUAUAUAUUAAGUUAAAACAUCGAUGACGAGUAGGUAGCUAGUAGGCGAAAUGAAUGAUGUGCAUGUGUUUCUUUGUUUUUUAAGCCUCCGUAGUUCAGGCUUCAAUAAACAUUUUAAGCAAUGUUUGCUAGUCAAAUAAUAGUUAAAACAGUAAAAAUGUAAAACUUUAAUAAUAUUUUAAUUUAAACAAAUAUGAUUCUAUACUGUAUUGCCGAAUCUAUACAUUAUGGUGCCAGUAUAGCAAGCUACACAAAAUUAGCCAAAUUAAUAUCAUAUAAAAAAAACAUAAACUGUUUACCUAUAUAAAGUAAAAAACAUUCAAUUUGGAUUCAAAAUACAAUAGAAAAUAUAAAAAUACAUGGAUUAAAAGGAACUAGAUGUCACUGUUAAAGGUGUCAAUGUAGAAUACAACACAACCUUGUACUGUAAUAUGCGUCCAAACCAAUAAAAACAGUUGAUUGGAAAUUCCAAAAAAAUUUUAAAAUGUUGGAUUCAAAUACUAAAGUAUACUGAAGCAUGCAAUACACUAGUAGUGGAACAAAUUGUCUCCAUUAAAUGUUUAUGUAAGUAAUUCAUAAGUGUUAGAAAAGGAUUUAUUGUACGCAGUUUGUAUUUAAUAAAAUAUUUUAUCCGGUCGAUUUUAAUAAACUAGGUACAUACUAAAGAGGAAUAUGAUUAUUUUUCUACUUUUUUUAUAUUUUUAUUUUUGAAAUAUAAUAUUCAUUCUUAUUCAAAUUACUUAUAUUAGCUUUUUUUUUACAUAAAUAUGUGUUUGGGCUGGAUACACAACAAAAUGUUAAGAAAUGAUUUAAAAAAAAUACAAGUCACAAGUGGUAGGUAAUGUAACAUUAAUUUGAACUCUAUAAUGUAUGCCUAAUAUAUUUUUAGACAACAAAAUGAAGUUCAAAUUCGGAUUACUGUAUUGAGACAGACAUUGAAUAAUUGCAUGUUGAUCAGUUUCUAAAGAGUCUUAACGUACUAAUAUUUUCCUUAUAAAUCUCCAGUUGUGAAGUGCAGUUCUUAGCCCUAAUACUAAACUCAAUAAAUGUAUUGUAUAUAUUGGACAUUAAUGUUAUGGAAUACCUUUAAAUGCCAACAUGUUCCCAUACAUUUCAAAUAAAAAUUGAAUUAUGAAAAGAAAAACUGCCAAAAAAUAGCUAUUAAUUACAAAUGAUAAGUCUCAUACACAUUCAUAACAGAAAAAUAGUCAAAUUUGAUUUCUUUUAACUUUUAAAUUUUAAACUAAUUAUUUUGUAUGUUAAAUAAUCUUUAAUAAACAAAUUUAGUACGGGUAGUUG